rnacentral:sRNA from 2 species
UUGACAUUCUGAACGUGAAGGCAUACUUUCAGGAGUGAGGGUAGAGCGGGGUUUCCCCCGCCCUGGUAGUCUUAGUAAGCCGGGAAGCUUAUGACUAAGAGCACCACGAUGAUGAUCCACUUCAUCAUGACCCUUUCCUUAUU